rnacentral:tRNA from 1 species
AUUAUAAUAUUUUAAUAAAAAUAUUGUUUUGCAAAAACAAAAAUAGUCUAUAAAUAAGACUUUAUAAUU